AAAUCAAUAUAUUUGGAAAUGUAGAAAACUUCCAAAAAUAUUUAAAUAAAUGAUAUUCUAUUAUUGUUUAACAGUGCGAUUUAUUGCAAUUUUUUUUAAUCGCUUGACAGCCCUAAUAUAAACCCCAAGAGCAUUUAAAAUGUAACACAGUAAUUCUGCACUUGACCCCCAUGUGGUAUAUAUAGUACAUUCUCUUUCAAAUAGUUUAAUACUUUCUGAAUAUGUCAUUAUGAAUUAAUUAUGACAUCAUUAAGACAUUAGGAACAGGGUGAGUAGAUCAGUGAUCUUGCAUAUGCCACUGCACAUACUGUGCAUACUAAAUAUAGAGUUUUAUCAUUACUAAAGCUUAUAAUAUAUUAUUAUACAAUGGUUCACCAACAGCCAAAUAUUUACAGUGAUUAUUCCGCUCCCUCAACAGAUGGGAAGGCAGCAGUGUUACAGAAUUUAUGCAUUACCUGCUGUCUCUGUCAGCAUCAUACUAUCUAAUUCUUGGAAAAUUACAAACUAUAACUCUACUUGUUUUGCCAUUGUAGGUAACAUGUUAGGGAAAACAGAUGAUUGCUUUGAUAGCUUUAAAGCUAUCAUGAAUAACUCAUCAAAGAAUGAGAACUAGGAUUACUAACUAUGCAUAAACAAAGAAAGCAGUCUUUCUUGGCACUAGAUGUGUAUUGACUUUGAGAGGAUCAGUGGAGUCUCAGUACCCAAUCGAUAAAGAAAAUGAGAGUUAAUUGAGCUGCUUGAAGAGCUUGAUCUGUGUUCCGACCAGCAUUUCUGAAUAUUCCAGACACAAACUAGGACUCCAGUCUUCAAAGGCACAUGAAAUGAACCUAGCCCCUCCAUUGCAAGGAAAUUAGUAUGUUAACUAAUGGUGUGAUGAUAUAUAUUUAUUUGGAAUGCGUGCAUAGAGUCUGUAAAGAUUUCUUAAAAUGUGCUAGUUACUAUAUGAUUGUAUACAGUGUGUAAUGUUUCCAAAGAGAAGACACCAUUGGCAGAUCUCUUUACAGAUCUGUACUGUGCUUCAUUUCUUUCAGGAAUGUGUAUUGAUGAAAAAUUGGGGAUUAAACCUUCCAAAAGACUUAAGUAAUGGGUUUAUGGGCUAAAUUUAAUGUUCUUACUCUUAGCACCCUCUUCCCUAGUUGUUUUACCUGUCCUGGAGGUAAAGCUGGUAGUUUGAAUCCUCUGCCUCUGGAUAUAGCAGUAAAUUGUCACUGAAAAUAGUCUUGUCAGAACUGAGCCUUGUGAUAUUUUUGACAGCCAAACAAACUGAAAACAUAUCAUGGCUUUUGCUAUAAGGAUGUUCAAAUUCUGUAAUGAAUUUUUAUGCAUUUACAACGGAUGUUUGAUCUAAUGCAUGAAUGUUUUUGGAUGGACUGGACAGAGACUGUUAAACAGCAGGAUUGGAAUUGUCAGAGGAACCUAAAGAGAGUUAGGAACCCAGCUCCCAUUGGAAUUUAAUGGGAUUCGUGUACUUGAUGUCAGGCAUCUUUGUAGCCUAAUUUUUAAAGAUCAGCAUGUUAACAGAAUGCAUAGGUACUGCAUUUGGCCAUCAGAUUGGCACUUAAGCACAUAAAGUGGUAUUUAUAUAUUGAAACAUCAGUCACAGGAUUUGGACUGAUAACAAAUAUUUUGAAGGUCUUUUGAAGGUGUUCACAUUUGAACAUUAGUUACAGGAGAAAACAAUUAUCAACUGUAUGAGAAGACUGAAAACAAAAUUUAACAGUUCCUUAGGUCAGCGGUUCUCAAACUGUGGGUCGCGACCCUGUUUUAAUAGGGUUGCCAGAGCUGGUGUUAGACUUGCUGGGGCCGAAGCAGAAGCCUGAGCCCUACCGCCCAGGGCUGAAGCAGAAGCCCGAGGGCUUCAGCCCUACGUGGCGGGGCUCAGGUUACAGGCCCCCGGCCUGGGGCUGAAGUCCUUGGGCUUCGUCUUUGGGGCCCCUCGUGGUGGGCUUUGCUUUUGGUCCCCUCACCUGGGGUGGUGGGGCUCAGGUGGGCUCAGGCUUUGGUCCCCCCUCCUGGGGUCAUGUAGUAAUUUUUGUUGUCAGAAGGGGUCGCAGUGCAAUGACGUUUGGGAACUCCUGUCUUGGAUGAACUGAUGUGGGUAAAAUUCCAUGUAAGAAAGUGUCGGGCUUUUCAGCAUUAAAGAGCUGAUCAUCUCAACAAAUCACUUUUUAGAAAUAAUGUAGCAACUAUAAAUGGCCUUGUACCAAAUAAGCAAUUAGAUUGGAGAAAGUCUGUAAUCUCCUGUCUUAUUUUAUGUUCUCAUAAUAAUAUGACCAGUGCACUUAAUUUAGCAGAUGUUCUAGCAGAUUUGACGUAUCAUUUGUGACACCUAAAAUACCCUGCAUGAACAUUUGAAAGGAUAUAAAGAAGGUUUUAUAGAUUCUUUUAUUCGUUCUGGCCAUUCAGCUUUGGAAGAGCUAUUGUACUUUGGGGAAGGUACUUCUCAAGUCAAAGAGGGAUAUGAGAUUCAACUGGUGUCUUAGUCUGCUGAGUCAGCCCUUUCUGAAGUUGCCCCUUUCUCUCAGUGAUUGUUUGGAUAUGCUGCUUUUGCUGGCACUGGCUCAGGAAAUCGGAGAAUCAAUGGAACAGAGGUAGUGUCAUCAACCGAAAUAAGAGAAUUUUGGGGAAAAAAUGACGCUAUCACUGAUCUCUGAAGCUGCUGACCUCACAGCCUCUUUGCUCACUCUGAUGCUAUAACCUACUGGGUGCACCCUAUGGUUCCUGGAGCAGCACAGAUUAAACAGAUAUCAUGAAUAACUGGAGUCAAUAAAAAGAGUUUCAAAUAACCUUUCAGACAGGCAGAUGGGGAGAGGACAACAGAGAGCAAAAAAAUUAAUUCACAGCAAAAACAAAUAGUCACUCCUGACAAGAAUUCAGCACACCAGAAGAAUAAAUUAAACAUCUCAGAAUAAAGGGUGUAUGGAAAAGCACCAUCAAACAGCAAUGCACAUGCCAUUAUUUGUUCCUGCAUUACACCCAUUAGGCUUUUUAAACAAAAUUCUGCUUUUGGAGUGUGUUAACCAGCUGUGCAAGAUACUUACAGCAAAAUUUGACAUUAUGCAAAACUUGAUUGUUUUAUUUACAACAUAUAAAAAGCCCUGGAUAUGUUCACUGAAAGUUUGGUGAGGAGCAUGAACCUUUCCAGUGAGCCUGGGCCCAGUUUGGAGUGAAAAUGUUCAUCGGUUUCUGGUUUUGCAUCAAUAUAGUAUGAGACCUGUGGUCUUGAUGUCAAAGCAGGUGAGACUGUAAUUCUGAUGGGAGUUUCACAUUGUGAUUUUGGGUUAAUUCCUGAGUGAGAUCUGAAUGUUCAAGGUCCUGUCUGCUCUGUACAAAUGUUAAAGAUCCCAUAACACUUUAUAGCAGAGUAGGGGUUUGCCUGGGUAUUCUUGGCCAAAAUUUCACUUCCUGUCACUCUUGGUUAUCCCUUUAUGGCUGGAAUUUCCUUCCUUACCUUGUGUGCCAUGCUCUCCUUUAAAACUCUUGAGAACUCACUUUUUGGUUCAGGGCAAAAUUGCUGUUAAAAACUGAAAGACUGGGCUCCAUGUAUCCAGUUUCAACAGAUGAUUUUAUGUAUUCAAAGCACAAGGCAGGAAAGAUUAAUUAACAGAGGGAAUCUAGGAGUUAGUUGAAACUGGAUGCCAAAUAGUAAACCUUCUUUUCUGCUACUUAAAGAUUAUGACCAGAACGCUUGGUGGAACAGCGAAUGCCUUGGCCUUUUGCCCUUAGAGUUUUGAUUUCUAAUUCUGUUUUGGUAACAAAACUACCUUAACAUUAUCUCUGGACUAGAACUGUCGGAGAGUGGUGGUUGUAAAUCAGAACUGAGGUGCUUGUCAGAGCCAUGUGGGGAAAUUCUGAAAGGCCUUGCCUGCACUCUGCCUUCAAAGUAGGACAUACAGCCUCACUGUCUCUCAGAUGAGCCUCUGGGCUUGAGCACUCCUGCUUCACACCAUGAGCUCUGCCCAGCAAGUCCAACUGAGAUAGACUGCUGGUCAGAUUUGUAUACUCUUCAGGGACUCAAGCACCUCAGCAAGUAUAUGCAGUGACACCCAGCAACCUUUUCAAAACAUAGGGAGAUUAGUCAACUGGAACACGGCAUCCCGGUUAGGUUAGGUUAGCAUACAGAAUGAAGGUUACAACAUAGGCCAUUUAGCCAAGCCAGUGCCAUCAGCCAGCCAAGCUGCUAUGAACUCCAUUUCAGGCUCUGUCUCCUGUGUCAGUUCAAGGUGAACCACUCUGAGUUCACAUACCACCUGCUGGAAAUUCCAGAUGUUAAGUGUUGAUUGUUCAGUCCUUGGGGCUUCCACUGUCUCCUGUUCUGCCCCAAGAGGACACACAACCCUUUCCCCCCUACUAAGUAGCCAUACAAAGCACAGUAACAAGGAAUGUGUAGGAUUCAUAAACAUAUUAAAAAAAUCCUACUUCAUCACAGGGGGCACCUUAAUUCUCCAGAAGAUUAUAAAUGUUCCUCCUCAGAUGAUGCCUUGCUGCUGAUGUACUUUCACUUUCUCUUUGUGACAGACAAGACCUCUGAGCUUGUCUGAACAGGUAAUUCCCCACCAUUCUUUCAUCAAUAUCCUUUUAUGGAAGCAUUGACUUGCCAAAACGUGUUUAAACACUAGAUUGAUUGUACUAUGAGAAUUUAAAUAACUAGGGAUGCUUGAUUACCUCCAAGUUGGCUUCAGAGAGCUGUUUGCAUUCCUGCAUUUAUGAGAGAAAAUUUGAGUGCAUGCCUUUUAUUAACUUUUUUUCUUAUGGCCCUCUAUUUCCUCUACGUUGACUUUUUCAUCUUGAGUUACACUUUGUUACAGCAUAGCUGGGAUACUGAGGAUGGUUUUUCCUGCCUCUCUUACUGACUCCAGAUGUUGAUAUUCUCUUGUUUUCACUUUCCUGUUCUUGCUUUUUAAUCUGGGGUUUUUUUUUUACUCUCUCUUUAAUCACUUUGCAUUUUGCUGCACAUCUGUUCCAAAAUAAAAAACAAUUGAUUGGCUCAACAGAGCCAAAAAUUCAGAGAACACUGCAUUAUUUUAUGCAUUCGCUGCAAAUAAAACAAUGUGUUAGUGGAGAAUUUGUUGUUCAAAGGUCAGAAGAAUAAAUUAUAGUUG